GAAAAUCAGCCAUUGAAGGGGGUUUGAAAGCUCAAAAUUUUCAGCCACUUAGUUGACUCACAAGUAAGUGAUUUCCAUGUCCUUUGUUGAUGAUUUUUGUAUUUUUGAGACCCUAAAAGCAUGAGCUUUCAAAUGAGGGGUCUAUUUUGCAAAAUGAUUAAGAGUUUAGGGUUUUUCCAUGAAUGGAUUUGUAGUGUUUUCUAAGUUUUUAUGGAAGAAAAUGAGUCCUAGUUGUGUUAUAAACAACUUUUGUGAGAGAUGUUAGCAUGAAAACACUUAAAGAGACUAUUUUGCAUAAGUUACAAAAUAGGUGAUAAGUGUGUGAAAUAGUGCGGUUUUGGAGUUGCUAUAAGAGUAAAAAGAUCUCGGCUAGGCUUGAAAUACGAAGAAAUUCGAUAAAAAUUGAUUUUUUAGCAUAGGGGUAAAAUGAUCAUUUUGCCAAGGUCUAGGGGCAAAAUGGUCAUUUUACCUAAGAUGUGAAUUUUAAAUUUUCCUAAUGGUGUUUAGUGACUAAAUGAGUGUAUUUUUUCAUUAUAGAUUAAGAAUUUUCAAAUCCGAACCUAGAUUGGGAGAAAGCCAAGUAAAUCAACUAAACCGACUAGUCGUAUAUAUUUUGUAAUCCGAGGUAAGUUUUUUAUAAAUAGUACAAUUACAUUGCUAUUAUAUGUGUUUGAAUUGUCAUUUAAUUGAUAUAUCGUGAACUGGUUGAUUGUGACUUGAGAAUGCAUAAAUAAUAAUUGUGAUAGUGGAAAUCCCGUAGAACCCUAGGAAAUAAACCAGAUAUUCAUGUCGCGACAUUUGGGUCAUUUGUGUGAGCUAGUGUAAGACAUGUCCUAGACAUGCAUCGGCCACAUUAUGAGAGCCAAUAUAAGACCAUGUCUGGGACAUGGCAUCGGCAUUGAGACGAGGGCUAGUGUAAGACAUGUCUGGGACAUGUAUCGGCCUCGAGACAUAAGCUAGUGUAAGACAUGUUGGGACAUGUAUUGGCUACGAGAUGAUAGUCAGUGUAAGACCAUGUCCGGGACAUGGAAUCGACUUGAGAUAUGAGCCAGUGUAAAACCAUGUCUAGGACAUGACAUCGGCACCUUACCCAUAUCUGAGGCUUAAUGAAUACUCGGUGAUAUUUCGAAUGGUUCAACGGUGAAUGUUAUGUUCUUGAGCUAAUGAGGAAAGUAUAACCGUGUUGUGAAUGGUACAUGUACCUAAUAGGUACGUAUGAGAUAUGAGCUUAAUAUAUAUAUAUAAAUGUGACUUGUAUGGAUGGUAAUGAGUAAGUUACACCUAUGCCUACUUUGGUGUUAUGAGCAUGUUGAUUAUGAAAAAAUGUUGUAGUAUACUUAUUUAUAUGCAACUUACUAAGCUUUAUGCUUACUCCAUUUCCUUUCCCUUUUCUUUCAGCACUGCCUAACUAGCUCAAGGAUCACCGAAAGUCAGAUAUAUCGAUCACACUAUCAGCCGAAACAUUCGGUAUAGUUGGAUUUAUAUUUUUGAAUAUGACAUGUAUAGGGUUAGAAUUUAUUAUUUUGAAUAUUUGAAAAGUGGCCAAAUGUGUUGGUUGGGAUAAAUUCCACACUUAGUAUUAAGCCAUGAAUGAUGGCUAAUAUUUAUUUUGAGUUUAUAAAGAUGCAUCUUCAUGGUCGAAUAAAUAUCUAUUGUGGCUGAUUUGACUUUA
rnacentral:lncRNA from 1 species